CACAUGCAAGUCGAGGGGCAUCRGGAAGAAAGCUUGCUUUCUUUGCYGGCGACCGGCGCACGGGUGAGUAACACGUAUCCAACCUGCCCUUUACUCGGGGAUAGCCUUUCGAAAGAAAGAUUAAUACCCGAUAGCAUAAUGAUUCCGCAUGGUUUCAUUAUUAAAGGAUUCCGGUAAAGGAUGGGGAUGCGUUCCAUUAGGUUGUUGGUGAGGUAACGGCYCACCAAGCCUUMGAUGGAUAGGGGUUCUGAGAGGAAGGUCCCCCACAUUGGAACUGAGACACGGUCCAAACUCCUACGGGAGGCAGCAGUGAGGAAUAUUGGYCAAUGGGCGYUAGCCUGAACCAGCCAAGUAGCGUGAAGGAUGAAGGCUCUAUGGGUCGUAAACUUCUUUUAUAUAAGAAUAAAGUGCAGUAUGUAUACUGUUUUGUAUGUAUUAUAUGAAUAAGGAUCGGCUAACUCCGUGCCAGCAGCCGCGGYAAUACGGAGGAUCCGAGCGUUAUCCGGAUUUAUUGGGUUUAAAGGGAGCGUAGGUGGACUGGUAAGUCAGUUGUGAAAGUUUGCGGCUCAACCGUAAAAUUGCAGUUGAUACUGUCAGUCUUGAGUACAGUAGAGGUGGGCGGAAUUCGUGGUGUAGCGGUGAAAUGCUUAGA
rnacentral:rRNA from 1 species